rnacentral:rRNA from 1 species
GAUGAACGCUAGCGGGAGGCUUAACACAUGCAAGUCGAGGGGCAGCACGGGGUAGCAAUACUCUGGUGGCGACCGGCGCACGGGUGAGUAACGCGUAUGUAACCUACCCUGUACAGGGGGAUAGCCCGGAGAAAUUCGGAUUAAUACCCCAUAACGAUAUCUGGAGGCAUCUUUGGAUAUUUAAAGUUUCAACGGUACGGGAUGGGCAUGCGUAACAUUAGCUAGUUGGUAAGGUAACGGCUUACCAAGGCGACGAUGUUUAGGGGUCCUGAGAGGGUGAUCCCCCACACUGGUACUGAGACACGGACCAGACUCCUACGGGAGGCAGCAGUGAGGAAUAUUGGUCAAUGGGCGUAAGCCUGAACCAGCCAUCCCGCGUGAAGGAAGAAGGCGCUAUGCGUUGUAAACUUCUUUUCCAGAGGAAGAAAACCCCUGACGAGUCAGGGCU